rnacentral:ncRNA from 2 species
GAAUAGCGUGUAGUAAUAGGUGUAAAUUGAAUCAAUUUACUAAAAGGGAAGUCGGUGGAAGUCCGACACUGUCCCGCAACUGUAAAUGUGAGCGUCUUUUUUGAAUACCACUGUCUAAAGACGGGAAGGGGAAAGAUGCGUUGACCGUAAGUCAGGAGACCUGCCUAUUACGAGUACACACC